UACAGAGGGGGCAAGCGUUAUUCGGAAUUAUUGGGCGUAAAGGGCGCGUAGGCGGUAGCGUAAGUCGGGUGUGAAAGCCCCGGGCUCAACCUGGGAAUUGCAUUCGAGACUGCUCUGCUAGGGUGCGGAAGAGGGAAGCGGAAUUUCCGGUGUAGCGGUGAAAUGCGUAGAUAUCGGAAGGAACACCAGUGGCGAAAGCGGCUUCCUGGUCCAGCACCGACGUUCAGGCGCGAAAGCGUGGGGAGCAAACAGG
rnacentral:rRNA from 1 species